rnacentral:piRNA from 1 species
UAAGAUGGACGGUUGUCUCUGUCACUUUCC